rnacentral:sRNA from 1 species
UUCUGAUCCAUUGAUUCGAUCGAACUUGAAGCGCAGCCUUCCUCACCGAGCCCUCAUCUCAUCUCUGUGUCGAAUUCCGGCCAGCCACCGGCCCACCACCACACCAUACUAUCUCCUCUGACUCUCCAACCUUCCUUCACCACACAGCCACCGCCACGCCACCGCUCUCUCUCUCGCGAUCUCUCUCUCUCGGGUGAUUUGCUCUCACAUCACAUAACUCUCGAUCCAGCACCAGCAUCAAAUAGUGCAGCUACAGUUCUAUAUUUAUUUUUUGGGCUGAGGUUACUUUACAUUGCUUGGAGAUCAUCAGAUUCUAAAUCUUCCCAGAAGAAAGAAAUUGAAGAAGCUCAUUGGUUUUCCCUUGAGUUAGCCAUGAAAGUACUAGGCAUUUACGAGAAGUGGGGAUAAUCUCAGAAUUCAGAGUUGUUCUGAAUUGACUGCCUGCAUUAUUCCUGAUGUCUGAUCACUUUUUAUAUCCUUUUGUCUUCAUCGCGUUUAUGAGCUUACAACAUGAAUUUUGUCCCUUUGCCAGUCUAUUUUGUUCAGAUACUGCAAAAGUGUGAUUUCUUAUUAUCGAUGUGAUCAAGAUUUAAGUUGUUCUGUGUGUC